rnacentral:lncRNA from 1 species
ACCCUGCUCCCCGGCGCGUACCCAGGGGCCACGAUUUUGGCUGGGCGAAAGCGGCCCGCUCCCGCCUCUCCUUGAGUGCGCUGAUUACAUCUACCGGAGACACCUUCCCUUCCCUUGGGGAUCCCAACUCUCAGGUCGCGAUCCUCUUCCUAUCUGCCCUCCCCCACCCCCGCCAACUCCAUUUUCUAGCCACCCAGAGGCCCCUUCACCCCAGCUUUUCCCGCCACCCCCACCUAUCCCCGUUCCCCUAGUUUUCCUCUGCACCCUAGGCGAUCGCCCCCUUCCCCGGAGCGGUGGCCGCGGCUACACUCACCGCGAGGGUCAGCAGGAGCAGCCGGCAGAGGGCUCCGUUCCAGGAGCCGGAGGGGCGGGCUGCCUCCAUGGAGAGGGCUCGGGGCAGGUCGCGGGCCGAGCGUCGGGCCGGGGUAGGAGGGCUCCGCGGGGCGAGGGCCGCGGCCGGAGCGCAGUCUGGGCCCGCUGCUCAGGAGGAGCGCGAGGCGGAGGAGGUGGGGCGCGCGGAGAGGUGCUUUUCUUAGCUUCUCUGAAGCGCCUGCCUCUCAUCCAAGGGGCUUUUCCUUUGGCGGAGGGAGGGGCUCCAGACGCGUCCAAAAGACACCGAUCGGCCCCUCCUUGUUGUCUAUUUAAGACUUAAGACUUCAUUUCUCUAAGAAAGCCACGGGUGGGAACUCCCUCUCGCCGCCACCCUUUUACCUGCGCAAGGUGUUUCUCACCAGCGGACGCCACCUAUAAGGCCCAUCUCCCCCACCACGCCCCGGUGUCCGCUCCGCCAGGCGAGAUUAACAGCCGGCCCUGCCCAGCAGAAGCCCUGACUGCACAAAGACUCACUCCUGAGUGCGCGGUCGGCCCCGGCUCCGCCCUGCCCGCUGCCCUCGGCGACGGCCGUGGUCCCUGCCCUGGGGUCAAUUACAGAGCGAGGUCUGAGCCGCAGAGGCUGGGUUUUAGGUCACAGCUGCCUGAGGCCCACCUGACAGAAAGUUGACUCCAGGGAGACUGUUACACACUCUACUGGAGUGAAUUUCCUACACACACCCACAAGCAGUUCAGACAUCAUAGUCAUCUGAGGCACCAUUCUUUG